GCCACCCUGUCACAAGUGACACGGGCCCUGAUGCUAAGAGGAGGCGCAUAGACCCUGCAGUGAAGGUGCAAGGCCCUAACAGGUCCUUCCAGCAUGAUGGGGAUUCUGCUAUGGACUGGGAACCUUCUGUCAGUGCAGGUCCAUCAGUGUCCUCCACUGACCAAGAUGUCGUCCCAAUGGAGGUAGAUGAGCAGAGCAGCAGCUCUCCGCCUUCGGCUGCGCAGAAGAAUUUAAAGAUUUCUCUAUC